rnacentral:rRNA from 1 species
UGAAAGUGGCGCACGGGUGCGUAACACGUAGAUAACCUGCCCUUUGGAGGGGGAUAACGUUCCGAAAGGAGCGCUAAUACCGCAUACAGCAUUCUGGAGUUUGCUCUGGGAUGGCAAAGGUAGGGACCCGCAAGGGCCUAUCGCCGAAGGAGGGGUCUGCGGCCCAUCAGCUAGUUGGAGAGGUAAUGGCUCACCAAGGCAGAGACGGGUAGCUGGUCUGAGAGGAUGAUCAGCCACACUGGUACUGGAACACGGACCAGACUCCUACGGGAGGCAGCAGUGGGGAAUCUUGGUCAAUGGGCGAAAGCCUGAACCAGCGACGCCGCGUGAGUGAUGAAGGCCUUCGGGUUGUAAAGCUCUGUGGGGCGAGACGAAAGCCUAGUUUCUAAUAGGAGCUAGUUUGACGGUAUCGCCUUAGCAAGCACCGGCUAACUCUGUGCCAGCAGCCGCGGUAA